rnacentral:tRNA from 1 species
GAGGGUAUAGUUCAAGUGGUAGAGCACAUGCUUAGCAUGCAUGAGGUCCCGGGUUCAUCCCCCAGUACCUCCU